rnacentral:rRNA from 1 species
UGGGGAAUUUUGGACAAUGGGCGAAAGCCUGAUCCAGCAAUGCCGCGUGUGUGAAGAAGGCCUUCGGGUUGUAAAGCACUUUUGUCCGGAAAGAAAUCCUUGGCUCUAAUACAGUCGGGGGAUGACGGUACCGGAAGAAUAAGCACCGGCUAACUACGUGCCAGCAGCCGCGGUAAUACGUAGGGUGCAAGCGUUAAUCGGAAUUACUGGGCGUAAAGCGUGCGCAGGCGGUUUGCUAAGACCGAUGUGAAAUCCCCGGGCUCAACCUGGGAACUGCAUUGGUGACUGGCAGGCUAGAGUAUGGCAGAGGGGGGUAGAAUUCCACGUGUAGCAGUGAAAUGCGUAGAGAUGUGGAGGAAUACCGAUGGCGAAAGCAGCCCCCUGGGCCAAUACUGACGCUCAUGCACGAAAGCGUGGGGAGCAAACAGGAUUAGAUACCCUGGUAGUCCACGCCCUAAACGAUGUCAACUAGUUGUUGGGGAUUCAUUUCCUUAGUAACGUAGCUAACGCGUGAAGUUGACCGCCUGGGGAGUACGGUCGCAAGAUUAAAACUCAAAUGAAUUGACGGGGUCAUAGCUG